AGACAACAGGGAUUGCCCUAGUAACGGCGAGUGAAGCGGCAACAGCUCAAAUUUGAAAUCUGGCUCUUUUAGAGUCCGAGUUGUAAUUUGCAGAGGGCGCUUUGGCUUUGGCAGCGGUCCAAGUUCCUUGGAACAGGACGUCACAGAGGGUGAGAAUCCCGUACGUGGUCGCUGGCUAUUGCCGUGUAAAGCCCCUUCGACGAGUCGAGUUGUUUGGGAAUGCAGCUCUAAAUGGGAGGUACAUUUCUUCUAAAGCUAAAUAUUGGCCAGAGACCGAUAGCGCACAAGUAGAGUGAUCGAAAGAUGAAAAGCACUUUGGAAAGAGAGUCAAACAGCACGUGAAAUUGUUAAAAGGGAAGCGCUUGCAGCCAGACUUGCUUACAGUUGCUCAUCCGGGCUUUUGCCCGGUGCACUCUUCUGUAGGCAGGCCAGCAUCAGUUUGGGCGGUAGGAUAAAGGUCUCUGUCACGUACCUCCUUUCGGGGAGGCCUUAUAGGGGAGACGACAUACUACCAGCCUGGACUGAGGUCCGCGCAUCUGCUAGGAUGCUGGCGUAAUGGCUGUAAGCGGCCCGUCUUGAAACACGGACCAAGGAGUCUAACAUCUAUGCGAGUGUUUGGGUGUCAAGCCCGAGCGCGUAAUGAAAGUGAACGGAGGUGGGAACCCGCAAGGGUGCACCAUCGACCGAUCCUGAUGUCUUCGGAAGGAUUUGAGUAAGAGCAUGGCUGUUGGGACCCGAAAGAUGGUGAACUAUGCUUGAAUAGGGUGAAGCCAGAGGAAACUCUGGUGGAGGCUCGCAGCGGUUCUGACGUGCAAAUCGAUCGUCAAAUUUGGGCAUAGGGGCGAAAGACUAAUCGAACUAUCUAGUAGCUGGUUCUGCAGU
rnacentral:rRNA from 1 species